UACGAAGGGGGCUAGCGUUGCUCGGAAUGACUGGGCGUAAAGGGCGCGUAGGCGGCUUGCACCGUCAGAUGUGAAAUUCCUGGGCUUAACCUGGGGGCUGCAUUUGAUACGUGUGGGCUUGAGUGCGGAAGAGGGUCGUGGAAUUCCCAGUGUAGAGGUGAAAUUCGUAGAUAUUGGGGAAGAACACCCGUGGCGAAAGCGGCUCUCUGGAACGGUACUGACGCUGAGACGCGAAAGCGUGGGGAGCGAACGAGG
rnacentral:rRNA from 1 species